rnacentral:rRNA from 1 species
GAGUUUGAUCCUGGCUCAGAUUGAACGCUGGCGGCAUGCCUUACACAUGCAAGUCGAACGGCAGCACGGGAGCUUGCUCCUGGUGGCGAGUGGCGAACGGGUGAGUAAUGCAUCGGAACGUAUCCUGGAGUGGGGGAUAACGUAGCGAAAGUUACGCUAAUACCGCAUAUUCUGUGAGCAGGAAAGCGGGGGACCUUCGGGCCUCGCGCUCUUGGAGCGGCCGAUGUCGGAUUAGCUAGUUGGUGAGGUAAAGGCUCACCAAGGCGACGAUCCGUAGCAGGUCUGAGAGGAUGAUCUGCCACACUGGAACUGAGACACGGUCCAGACUCCUACGGGAGGCAGCAGUGGGAAUUUUGGACAAUGGGGGCAACCCUGAUCCAGCCAUGCCGCGUGAGUGAAGAAGGCCUUCGGUGUAAG